AUGUAUUAUGCAACAAUAUUCGUGCCUACAUGUACGUAUUCUCAUUGACAGACUUGGCAAAACAUGCAGCCACGUAGCGGCCCUGCUAUUCAAAGUCGAAGUCAUCAACUAGUCGGGCAUGUGAAUGGAAUAAAUCAUUUCGCAAAGAAUUACAGCCAGUUACCAUCGCAGAUUCACAGGACAUUUUAAAAGGUGCCA